GACGAACGCUGGCGGCGUGCCUAAUACAUGCAAGUCGAGCGAACAUUUGAGAGCUUGCUCUCAAAUGUUAGCGGCGGACGGGUGAGUAACACGUGGGCAACCUGCCUAUAAGACUGGGAUAACUUCGGGAAACCGGAGCUAAUACCGGAUAAUUCACAUCUACUCAUGUAGAUGUGCUGAAAGACGGUUUACGCUGUCACUUAUAGAUGGGGCCCGCGGCGCAUUAGCUAGUUGGUGAGGUAACGGCUCACCAAGGCCACGAUGCGUAGCCGACCUGAGAGGGUGAUCGG
rnacentral:rRNA from 1 species